CACGUAGGGUGCGAGCGUUGUCCGGAAUUAUUGGGCGUAAAGAGCUCGUAGGCGGUGUGUCGCGUCGGCCGUGAAAACCUGCAGCUUAACUGUGGGCUUGCGGUCGAUACGGGCAUCACUGGAGUUCGGCAGGGGAGACUGGAAUUCCUGGUGUAGCGGUGAAAUGCGCAGAUAUCAGGAAGAACACCAAUGGCGAAAGCAGCUCUCUGGGACGGUACUGACGCUGAGACGCGAAAGCGUGGGGAGCGAACAGG
rnacentral:rRNA from 1 species